CUCCUGACUCCGAGCUGUCAGCACAGAGCCCGACGCGGGGCCCGACCCCACGAACUGUGAGAUCGUGCCCUGAGCCGAAGCCGGAUGCCCAACCUACAGAGCCACCCAGGCGUCCCAAGAGAUGCCCAUUUCUAACAAUCACCUUAGGUUUGUGAAGAACAAAAUGCUGGCCCUGGGGAGCCAAGGCAGAGUAAACAGUCCUGUCCAGAAGGCAUGGAAGGGCAUCUGGCCACGGCCUUGAGGACCCCGGGCACAAGUUCUGAGACACCCUGAGGCCUGCAGACAAGCCCUUCCUCCUGGAGCUGGAGGAAGAUGGCUCAGCUCUAGAGCCAGAAGAGUACUUGAGGGCCCGGCAGAGGACACAGUGCUCGGCGAUGAAGUAAACACUUUAGAUCACCUGGGGACAUCGUGGCAGAAUGGGAGCCAGAACCAAGGAUCUGACUCCUCUUUGGACGUGAGUUGAGACUCUUACAAGUUCUGCCUCGAAGAGGGCUGGCUUCCCAUGGUAAGAUAAAAGAAUCCUCUCUUGGUUUGGAAUCAGCUUUCCCAGUUUUGCUCCACCCACUCCAU